rnacentral:rRNA from 1 species
GAUGAACGCUGGCGGCGUGCCUAAUACUUGCAAGUCGAGCGAACAGACGAGGAGCUUGCUCCUCUGACGUUAGCGGCGGACGGGUGAGUAACACGUGGAUAACCUACCUAGAAGACUGGGAUAACUUCGGGAAACCUGAUCUAAUACCGGAUAAUAUAUUGAACCGCAUGGUUCAUUAGUGAAAGACGGUUUUGCUGUCACUUAUAGAUGGAUCCGCGCCGCAUUAGCUAGUUGGUAAGGUAACGGCUUACCAAGGCGACGAUGCGUAGCCGACCUGAGAGGGUGAUCAGCCACACUGGAACUGAGACACGGUCCAGACUCCUACGGGAGGCAGCAGUAGGGAAUCUUCCGCAAUGGGCGAAAGCCUGACGGAGCAACGCCGCGUGAGUGAUGAAGGUCUUCGGAUCGUAAAGCUCUGUUAUUAGGGAAGAACAAAUGUGUAAGUAAAUAUGCACGUCUUGACGGUACCUAAUCAGAAAGCCACGGCUAACUACGUG